CUUUUUGAACUUAAAUCAUUAUCAAUGGAAUGUGCUGAAUCUGGUUGCAAAGGUGGAGUGGCUUGAAGGGAGGAUUCUUGCCUUUCUGAACUUAAAUCAUUACCAAUGGAAUGUGCAGAACCUGAUUGCAAAGGCAGGGUGGCUUGAAGGGAAGAUUCUUGCUUUUCACAUGUAGAAUUAAUUUCAGAAGAUUUGGUAUGCUCAACUUUAACUUCACUUUUAUCAACCACAGAAUCUAGUUUUACUUCCUUUUUAGGAUCCAGCAGUGUUACAGAGAUAU
rnacentral:lncRNA from 1 species